rnacentral:lncRNA from 1 species
CAGGCAAGAGUACUGGAGUGGGGUGCCAUUGCCUUCUCCAAAAAUAAGGAAUAUCCAGCUCCAAAUCUCAAUCACGUUGUGGCUGAGAGACUUUGUGUUAGCUAGGUGUUUCUGUAGAGAACAAUUAUACUAUGUAAAGAAAUGAAUUAUAAUAAUUACAGUGAUAGAAACAUGUCUGAAAAGGAAAAGAAGUUUCUAUAGGUAUUUCUUAUCAGGAAAUAUAAGGGGAAAUAUUUGAAUUUUUUAAAAAGGAGUUUGCUAGUGUCAUUGUGUUAUCUACUUGUUAGUCAUAGGAUUUAAGGUUAGAAAGUAUUCUAGUUUUUCUUUCCAAAAUCAAGUUUGUGACCAGUAGUACCAUUUGACUAUUGUACUAGAAGGUGAUUAUAGGCUCUUUCCCAGAUGCACAAGAUUUCAUAAUUUUGGCAAAAUCUGUCUCAUUUCCCACCUUGAAAGAAAAAAAAAAAAAGAAGAUAACAUUCACAGCAAAUCGAAGGAUCUAUUUUGUGUCAGGAACUGUCAUCUCCUUUUGUUCUGGUUUAAAAAUAUACAUUGUUUUAACCUACUGUAUUGUCAACAAUCAUAUUCACAUGCCUGUGUCAUACCAAAUUCCGUGCUGAGACAAGCCACCUUACAAUGGCAGGACCUUUUAUCUACCAGGCCUACUGAAUGCUACAUCAGUUCAGUUCAGUUCAGUCACUCAGUCGUGUCUCACUCUUUGGGACCCCAUGAACCACAACAUGCCAGGCCUCCCUGCCCAUCACCAACCCCAGGAGUCCACCCAAACUCAUGUCCAUUGAGUCAAUGAUAUCAUCCAACCAUCUCAUCCUUUGUUGUUCCCUUCUUCUCCUGCCCUCAAUCUUUCCCAGCAUCAGGGUCUUUUCC